UCCUCUUGUUCUUUUUCUGCCAACAGCCCUCCAAAAGCUCACAACGCCGCCCAGCAUUCCCGGGGCUGACGGGGUCACCUGCUCGGGCUUCCCUUCCUGCACCCAUUGCCCCACGGACUCCUAGAUGCUCCUUAAGCAAGAACAAAGCGUCUGAACACACCUACCAGGAGGCUGUUUCUGGCUGGCUUGGCUCUGUCCAGGAACAAUCCAAAGAAUUCGCAGAGCAAGACAUCCUGACUGUAUUCCACAAGUCCAAAUGAUAAAGUAGAGAUAUGGGGGAUAAAAAAGACCCAAAUCAAACUUUGUUGAAAACUACAAUGCACAAGAUA